UACGAAGGGGGCUAGCGUUGCUCGGAAUUACUGGGCGUAAAGCGCACGUAGGCGGCUCUUUAAGUCGGGGGUGAAAUCCUGGAGCUCAACUCCAGAACUGCCUUCGAUACUGUAGAGCUUGAGUUCGGGAGAGGUGAGUGGAACUGCGAGUGUAGAGGUGAAAUUCGUAGAAUAUUCGCAAGAACACCAGUGGCGAAGGCGGCUCACUGGCCCGAUACUGACGCUGAGGCACGAAAGCGUGGGGAGCAAACAGGG
rnacentral:rRNA from 1 species